UCUCAGCCUCCUGAGACCCUUCCUCAGACUCUGCUGGGUGUUUGAGCCACUGGUCUGCUGCUUUAAGUUAUAGUGCACUGUGUGGAAUUACCCUCAUCUAAAGUCUAGACCUGCCCUGCCCAAUACAGUAGCAGUUGAGCACUUGAAAAGUGGCUGGUUCCUACCUAGGUGUGCUCGUGACUACCAGAAAAUUAUAAAUGACACAUGUGCCUCACAUUUGUGACUUGCAUUAUAUUUCCAUCAAACAGUCUGCCCGUCUAGACUGUGGAUUCAGCAGCCUUGGGUGGAGGUUGAUAGGAACCUGAAAGUCCAGUUCUGAAUGAGUUUCCCAAAGAGGUUGAAAAUUUGGGCACUGUCAUCCACUCUGGGCUUAUGUCUUCAAAGCGUCACAACCACAGAGAGCUCUUACUGAGAACAUCCUGGGAAAGUCUUUGACUAUGGUUGGGUCACAUGCCCAUCACUGAACCAGUCACCAUAGCCAAAAGGGGAUCAUCCCAACCCAGGGAUCAAGCCCAGGUCUCCUGCAUUACAGCAGAUGCUUUACCAUAUGAGCCACAAAGGAAAUAAACAUCAGAUCAGAUCAGUCGCUCAGUCGUGUCCGACUCUUUGCGACCCCAUGAAUCGCAGCACGCCAGGCCUCCUUGUCCAUCACCAACUCCCGGAGUUCACCGAGACUCACGUCCAUUGAGUCAGUGAUGCCAUCCAGCCAUCUCAUCCUCUGUCGUCCCCUUCUCCUCCUGCCCCCAAUCC
ensembl:lncRNA